CCCUUAGAUGUUCGGAGCUGCACGCGCGCUACACUGAUGCAUUCAACGAGUCUAAAACCUGCUCUGAUAGGGGUGGGUAAUCUUUUGAAUGUGCAUCGUGAUUGGGAUAGAUGAUUGCAAUUUUUCAUCUUCAACGAGGAAUGCCUAGUAAACGCAAGUCAUCAGCUUGCAUUGAUUACGUCCCUGCCCUUUGUACACACCGCCCGUCGCUCCUACCGAUUGAAUGAUCCGAUGAAUAUCAUGGAUUGAGGAUGCAAGUAGGUUCGCCUAUCUUCAUCUUCGAGAAGUGAAGUAAAUCUUAUCAUUUAGAGGAAGGAGAAGUCGUAACA
rnacentral:rRNA from 1 species